GGAGAAAGAGCCACUGGAAAGGGGGGCGGAGCAUCCGGUUGACGCAUGCGCAAUUGCCAAUUUUCGAUCGGUAUAAUUUAAUUGUAGUUUUUAAAAUUUUAUUUAGACAUUGUAAAAUGAAAAUCCAAUUGUUUGAUCUGCCUAAUAUUCUUUAUUUAAUGUGUUCCUAAUUUAGAUGUAUUUUUAGUGGACUUUGAUUCAAUUAAUUUGCUAAUUCAUUAACCCGUUGCCAAGUGUAUUAUCAAAAAUCGACGAAUUUCAACACGUGUAGCCCUUAGGGUUGGCAACCCUUUCCGAAGAGGAAGGGUUAGAAACAGAAAAACCGCCAACGUCGUGCGAUUCCAUUGUGAAGAGAACACAAUGUUUGCUUAAUCUUCUUCAGAGAAUAAGGUGCGUCAACCUUAUGCCAUACAUUAAAUAGCAACAGUUUUCAGAGAAAUUUAAGGAGGUAGGGUAAGAAAAAACUUAAAACUUAAAAAGAUUUCUUAGUAAAUAAUCUCACCAAACAGCAAAAACAAAACUACGACGAACGUUAUGUAAUCGAACUACAGUUUAAAAAACAAAGUGAAGUGCUGAGAAAAUCCUUAAUUUUUCUGGACACUGAUGUAAUUGCUUCUUUUCAAAAUGCAAUUAACGUUAUCAGCUUCAACUAUUCCAAGGAAUGAAAUACGUCCGAGGACAAAUAAACGGAUUUGACCAAGACGCCGCAUCAGCAGCUGCGAGUCGUCCAACAUUCUUGGCCACGCUAUUUAGAAAGGACACAGCGCGGUAUUCGCUUGUUACAUCCGGCCCACGUUCAAGUGGGUCCCUUUCCAUAUACGCACAAAGUCACCGUUCGUUUUCACAGAAACCAACUCUGAAAAGUUUGUCCUCGGAUGUAGGAGGUAUUUCUGGGAGCACCAAUAUUGCGAGAAGGCUCUUUCAUUCAAGUAUCGAUUCAUUUCCUUCAUAUAUAGAAGGCCAACUUUAAGUUACAUGCCCUUAACAUAGUUUUAUGACUAGUCGACGACGACUGAUUGAUGCAAUUCAUUUCCACAUGUUGUGUGCACCGCUUUAGAGAUUCAUAAUUUCGUGAAAAAUAAAAAUAAAUACGUGAUUA